rnacentral:lncRNA from 1 species
UUCAAAAUUCUAGUCGUUUUAAGCUAGCUACAUGAUUCUAAAUCAAAAAUUUAUAAUAAAUUCUUUAAAGACAAAUAUAAAGUUCGAACCAAAGCUACUAAAUUUGGCUCAAUCCACUCGGAACACUCUAGCUCCGCCCAUGUCUCCAUAGUCUGAUCAGUAAAGGCAUUAAAUGGUUGCAUAUGAGGCCUCAGCUUCAGGAAAAUUGAUGACACAAUGAGAGGAGAGGCUCACUCUAUUGCAGGCUUUGUCAGCCUUUUUGUUGAGGGAUGAAUUUAAUCCUACUUUUUUUCCUUUUAAACUGCAAAACCAUGGUAAACUGCUGGCAAGCUUCAUACUGGAAUUUGUUUGUCGAAAGUCCUUUAACGACAAUGAAAUGUACUUCAAACCAAUGUCUCGAGCUCGAGGUUUGAGAAUCAAUGAAAAAUCUUUUGGCAGAAAUGCUUCACCCAUAGACUCCACGAAAGUAGAAUAGAAAUUAGUAUAAGAAAAUAUGCUAAAACAGUUAAAAUGAAUGAAUACUCUCAAUUCAUUAACAAAGAAAUCCUUUUUUUACCCGAUUACGACACGUUACUAAAAUUUGGAUUCACUAAAAUUCAGAAUCUUGUCUUUGAGAAGUUUUAUUUUGUGUCUCAUACAAUUAACAUUAAUUAUAUGAGAUUUAUCUUUGUCUCAUAAAUUUGUGAACUCUGUAAUCUUACACUUCUGAUUCCACAGAAAUCUGUGUCCACAAAAUUAUGAGACAAAAGACCAAUACGAAUACCAAGGAGAAAAAUGAUGCUACAGUUUCCUACGUAAUCCAUAAUGCAAAUUACUACCUUUUACUAUAAUAACAUUAAAGGGAUAUUUGACUU